rnacentral:rRNA from 1 species
UACGUAGGAUGCAAGCGUUGUCCGGAAUUAUUGGGCGUAAAGAGCGAGCAGGCGGUUUGGAAAGUUGGACGUGAAAUUUUAGGGCUUAACCCUAAAGGGUCGUCCAAAACUCCCAGACUAGAGUGCAGGAGAGGAAAGCGGAAUUCCCGGUGUAGUGGUGAAAUGCGUAGAUAUCGGGAGGAACACCAGAGGCGAAAGCGACUUUCUGGGCCAUUCCUGACGCUGAGGUUCGAAAGCUCGGGGAGCAAACAGG